GUGUAAUGACUAACCUGUACAAACGCUGGAUAAGCCACUCGAAAGAAACUAAAGGUCUACAGUACAGGAGGACAUCUAAAAACAACGCGCCACUCCGUCAGACGGGAUGGAUGAGGGACUGUUGCGGUGCUGUCGACACGACUUGCCCAAGGUUUCCCGUCGACGUCGUUAUCUACCACUUGUCCGGGGGUCGGGUCGCGGAGGCAGCAACCUAAGCAGGGAGGCCCAGACUUCCCUCUCCCCGGCCACUUCCACCAGCUCUUCCUGGGGGACCCCGAGGCGUUUACAGGCCAGCCGAGAGACAGAGUCCCUCCAGCGUGUCCUGGGUCUUCCCCGGGGCCUCUUCCCAGGUUUCCUACCAAGUAUAAAUACAUUAAAAAACUAUCUUAUUAACUAUAUGUGUAUAAUAAAGGUCAUCUAAUCUAA